UACGUAGGGCGCGAGCGUUGUCCGGAAUUAUUGGGCGUAAAGAGCUCGUAGGCGGCCUGUCGCGUCGGUUGUGAAAGCCCGGGGCUCAACCCCGGGUCUGCAGUCGAUACGGGCAGGCUAGAGUUCGGUAGGGGAGAUCGGAAUUCCUGGUGUAGCGGUGAAAUGCGCAGAUAUCGGGAAGAACACCCGUGGCGAAGGCGGCUCUCUGGGACGGUACUGACGCUGAGACGCGAAAGCGUGGGGAGCGAACGGG
rnacentral:rRNA from 1 species